rnacentral:tRNA from 1 species
GCCCGGGUGGCUCAGUGGUUGAGCAUCUGCCUUCCGCCCAGGUCAUGAUCCCGUGGGAUCGAGUCCCCCAUCAGGCU